GACGAACGCUGGCGGCGUGCCUAAUACAUGCAAGUAGGACGCAGUUGCGAACGGGUGAGUAACGCGUAGGUAACUACCUAUUAGAGGGGGAUAACUCUUGGAAACGAUAGCUAAUACCGCAUACUAGUAGAUGGACCUGCGUUGUAUUAGCUAGUAGGUCGGGUAAUGGACUACCUAGGCAACGAUACAUAGGCGACCUGAGAGGGGGAUGGGCGAAACUGGGAAUGAGACACGGCCCAGACGCCUACGGGCGGCAGCAGUAGGGAAUCGUCGGCAAUGGGGGGAACCCGGACCGAGCAACGCCGAGGUAGUGAAGAAGGUUUUCGGAUCGUAAAGCUCGGUUGUUAAGGAAGCGGUACUUAACCAGAAAGGGACGGCUAACUACGUGCCAGCAGCCGCGGUAAUUC
rnacentral:rRNA from 1 species